UAAUUGGAUGGCCAUGUUGACGAAAACAGUGACGACCAGUAUCGCAAAGGCUAUAAUGUUCAUCAUGAUCUCCUUGUUCUUCACCGUCCCUAGCGACGGCAUGGAGUUUGCAAUCACCACACAGAGCAAUACCCCGCUGCUGAGCUUGGAGAGCUGGUCGACUCGACUAGGCAUGGGUGUGUUGAGAUCCACGGAGAAUUUGACUGCAACUGUUA
rnacentral:lncRNA from 1 species